rnacentral:lncRNA from 1 species
UUUGGGUGGGAUUCCGCCCGUUUGGGUUCAGCCAAACUCUGCUUUUUUUGUAGGGCCGCGCCUCCAAAGCCCCCGAGGGCGGCCCCCGCAGCCGCCGUGGGGCGAGACCCCCCCUGAAAGCGGGCGAGGAAGAGGAGGAGGAGGAAGAGGAGGAGGAGGAAGAGGAAGAAGACGACGACGACGAGGAAGAGGAAGAGGGCAAGCCGGGCCCCGCCCCCUGUCAAGCCCCGCCCCCUUCCCCUCCCGCCCCGCCCCCUUCGCUUGACCAGCCCCUCCCAUUGGACAAAGCCCCGCCCGUCACCCCCGAAGCCCCGCCCUCGCAGGGCCAAGCCCCGCCCACGGAGGGCGAAGCCCCGCCCCCUGUUGCCGAAGCCACGCCCACACAGCCCCAAACCCCGCCCCCAGAGAGCGUGGCCACGCCCACUGAAAUACAGACCACGCCCCCUGCGGUCGAAGCCCCGCCCCCCGUGAUGGAAGCCCCGCCUCCACCGACCGAAGCCACGCCCACCAGCAGCAUGGCCACGCCCCCUCGUGAGGAAACCCCGCCCCCUUCCUCCCCCUCCCCCCUGCCGUUGGUGCAGGGGGCGGAGCCUGUGGCCCCGCCCACCGCAGAGGAGCCAAUCCCGCUUCCCCUGAGCAAAGAGCCCGCCCCCGAGGGCGGAGCUAUUGCGGAUACCCCGCCCACAGACGAGGCCCCGCCCCCCUCCUCGCCCCGAGGGCGCAGCCAAUCGUCUUCCUCCUCCUCGCCGCCACGGGGGCGUGGCCAAAACGCUGAGGACGAGCAGCCGGAGCCGACCCCAGCAGCGACCCCCAAGUGAGUGCGCGGUGCUAUGGGGCGGUUGUGGGGCACUGUGGGGUGACGGUGGGGCUGCGUCAGGCAGUUAUGGGGCGCUGCGGGGGGGUUACGGGGUACUGGGGGGGCUCUGGGGCAGUUGUGGGGUGCUGUGGGGCAGUAAUGGCGCUCUGGGGGUUGUUACUGGGAGUUAUGGGGCAGUUGCAGGGCUUUGUGGGGUGGUUAUGGGGCACUACGGGGAGGUUAUUAGAAUUUAUGGGGCAGUUUUGGGGUGCUAUGGGGCAGUAAUGGCGCUCUGUGGGGCACUGUAGGGGGUUAUGGGGCAACGUGGGGCUCUGUGGGGCAGUUAUGGGGCUCUGUGGGGCAGUUAUUAGCAUCUGGGGGCAGGUAUGGGGCACUGUGGGGCAACACGCUUCUCAUUAUGGGGUCUCUAUGAUCCUCUCUAUGGUCUUUUGGUCCUCCCUGUGGGUCCUCCUGUCUCUAGGGGGUCCUUCCUAUGUGAUCUCUAUGGGCCCUCCAUGGGUCCUCUCUAUGAUCCUCUCUAUGGUCUUUUGGUCCUCCCUGUGGGUCCUCCUGUGUCUAGGGGGUCCUCCCUAUGUGAUCUCUAUGGGCCCUCCAUGGGUCCUCUCUAUGAUCCUCUCUAUGGUCUUUUGGUCCUCCUUAUGUGAUCUCUAUGGGCCCUCCAUGGG